rnacentral:rRNA from 1 species
UAACAGAGGUGCCGAGCGUUAGGCGGAAUCGACUGGGCUUAAAGCGUGUGUAGGCGGACUUCUAAGUACCUUGUGAAAUCCCAACGGCUCACCCGUGGAACUGGCUUGGGUAUACUGGGUCGUCUUGAGCCACCUAGGGGCGAGCGGAACGAAAUGGUGGAGGACGGUGGAAAUGCGUAGGAUAAUCGGAAGGAACACCGAUGGCGAAAGCAAGCGCGCUGGACCUCUACUGACGCUGAGGCGCGAAAGCCAGGGGAGCAAACGGG